ensembl:lncRNA
GGAAGGUUGCACAUUUUAGGAUACUUUAUUGAUAUUACUUGAAACUUCAACAGUAAGCAUUAUACAUAUUUUCUUUAGAAAACUGGAAUUUCAUAUAUGAAUUCAUCAUUUGACCUCCUGUUUGUUUGCUAGUGAUAGGCUACUUGAUGACAGUAUUAGUGUCACGGUUCUGGGUCAAUUUUGACCCAGCUUUUUGUGUUUCUGUUUUGUUUUUCUAAAUUUAUGAUUUGUUUGGGAUUUUGAGUGUUCAUACUUUGGUUUGAUUUUGUAUUUGGUAUUGUAUUCUGAUUAUUGUUCUUUCUUGACUAUUAUUAGAAUUCUAUGUUUCUAUUUAUUCGUGUUUAAGGAUUGUUCUUCGGUUGGUCUCAUGUUUAGUAUAGUUUGAGUUCCAUGUGUUAUAUUCUUUGUCUGCCUUUUGCUGUGAAGUCUGCGUCUUUGUGAUUUGUUUCAUGCUUCCUGUCUUAUUUUGAUAGUCCCUGUCUGUUGUCAGUGUGUUCAGUUUUGCUUCUCCCCUGUCUCGUUAGUCUAAUUUUGCCCAGCUGUGUCUCCCUCCUGUUGCCCAUUCCCUGAUUACUCCUCUGUGUGUAUAUAAGCCCUGUGUUUUCCUGUUGCUCCCUGUCGUGUUGUACCCUCAACUUGCUCUGUUUCUUAUGUCCAGUCCUUCAGCACCUGUUUAGAGUCUUGUUUUGUUUUUGCUUUGUUUUUAUGAGUUUUAUUUUAUGAAGAGUUUAUACAGCAAUAAAGCUGCGUUUUCAGUUUAAACCCCGUCUCCAAGAGUCUUGCAUUUUAGGUCCACCACUUCUGCCUGCCUGCCUGCCAGCCACACAGCCAACCAUGACAAUUAGCUAACCAGUGCUCUCCAUACAGAGAAUCUAAUGUCAGUGUAUUAUGAUCUAUUAUGAAAAUUCAGGUAACUGUGGCUGUCAUAAAAAUAUGAUCAGGGAAAAUUGCAGUAGCUUCCCUGAUCAUUUUACUAGCAUGAGAGAAAAAGAUCUAAAUAACUUAGCCUAGGGUGACCAGACGUCCUCUUUUCCCCGGACAUGUCCACUUGUCACGUUCUGGGAUUUUCGAGAUUGAUGAAAAUGUAUGGGCUAGUGAUGUGUCGGUUGCGAACGAAACGGCUCUUAGAGCCGGAUCUUUGACGUGAACAACGCGAGCCGGCUCCUUAUCGCAAGCCGUGGGUU